rnacentral:rRNA from 1 species
AGCGAACGCUGGCGGCAGGCUUAACACAUGCAAGUCGAGCGGGCAUCUUCGGAUGUCAGCGGCAGACGGGUGAGUAACACGUGGGAACGUACCCUUCGGUUCGGAACAACUCUGGGAAACUGGAGCUAAUACCGGAUACGCCCUUAUGGGGAAAGGUUUACUGCCGAAGGAUCGGCCCGCGUCUGAUUAGCUAGUUGGUGGGGUAACGGCCUACCAAGGCGACGAUCAGUAGCUGGUCUGAGAGGAUGAUCAGCCACACUGGGACUGAGACACGGCCCAGACUCCUACGGGAGGCAGCAGUGGGGAAUAUUGGACAAUGGGCGCAAGCCUGAUCCAGCCAUGCCGCGUGAGUGAUGAAGGCCUUAGGGUUGUAAAGCUCCUUUGUCCGGGACGAUAAUGACGGUACCGGAAGAAUAAGCCCCGGCUAACUUCGUG